AUUGCUGGCAACGUACCAAUUUUCUUUCCUCAGAGUGAAAGCAGAUUUCGAGAUGCGACUUCGGCCUCGCUACACCAUCCGUUGCAACAACGAUAGGUGCGAUAAAUGCAAUUAUUUACGCUCGAUUAAGAACACACUUCGUCGAAAGCGCGAAGGGCCGCGAGGCGAACGAGAGCAAAGAUCAGAGGGACGAGAGUAUUGUGCGAUGAGGACGAACGAGAGAUGAUAUAUCUUUGAUUCUAUAAAUACUUGGCAGUAAGUAGAAGCCGCCGUCCUCCUUCUCGAAGUCUCCAUACCGUCGUUAUACCGUUCUUUUACACCUUGCACGAGUAAAGAUUUCCGAUGGUAUCGUAUUCGAACGUAGCUUCCAACGGUGGUCCAUACCGAAUUUCAUUGGCGUGUGGGAAUUGAUGCAUCGCCAUGUACAAGAAUAAUUCACUAUCGUCUGUCUCUUCGCGUCGAAGUCCUGCUUAAGAAAUAUUCCAGUCGCGACCCACACACAAUGCUGCUGAGAAAAGCAGCGCGUUUACGAGAGAAGGGGGACAGUCGUGUGUACUUACUUACAACGAGUUAUAAGAGACGACGUGGUUAGUGUAUAUCAAGAGAGAUAAAGAGAAAGAGAGAGAGAGAGAGAGGAAGUUUUCGAAAUAAAUCACGGAACUAGGCACAACAGGUGUACGGAUUGCCUCACGAUUCAGGUUCUUCUCUCUCUCUCUCUCUCUCUCUCUCUCUCUUUCUCCGUUUCUCUUUCUCUCUUUUGUACAUCUCUCUCUCUUUCUCUCUCUCUCUUUGUAUGCGACACUAGAGAAAAGGAGGAGGAUCCAUACUUUAGAGUCCAUUCUCGUAUGCUUACACGCAGUACGCGAGCAUACUUUUCCUGAAUCACCAAAUAUGUUCCGUCGUCUUAAGAAAAAUAUGUAAGCAUCGUGCCGCUGAACAUAAGCGAUCUUUCUUUCGUGGCUUGUAAGACCUACACCUAUGUACUUUCCAUCUUAUUCAACUUGACUAUUCACUUUGAUGACUUUCUUUUAUCAAGAAUAUUAUUCUCGAAGUUGUUCCAUGAUUUUUCUUCUCUCUUUUGUUUUAUUCUUCCUUCCUUCGUUCAGUAAUAAUUAUUACAAAAUCAUAUGGGAAUAAAUCAUGCGCCAGGAAGCUAUCAAUUUUUUCCAAACCUUUCUUUAUGUGAUUCUAUGAAACACAACCCUUAAACCGAAACCAUCGAUUUUCAAUUCGAUUUUCUUUCUUUUCUUUCUUUUUUUUCUC